AGAAAACUACCUCUGGCACUUUCUCUGCCCUGGAGUGGGAAUCAAGACAAUGACUGUAGUCCAGGAAAGCCUUAGAGCUGCUGCCAACUAGUAACAAGUUCAAGCCUUCCACCCACCCUCGUUCCAGAACAGAUUCACAGCAGCCUGAUGUCUGGUGAAGCACAUCAUGCCCUGGUGGGCAGAAGAGCACUGCCAUACUUGUGACCCCAUUCGCUCAAGGAGGAGUUACAGAAAGCAGCACAUUGGGGAGAGGAAGCUGUAAGCAAACCCUGUUUAUCAGAACAAGCAGAUGGCCCCCAGCAUGGAGACCUGGCUGCACUGCUGCUGCUCUCUGUCUAGCCUUUGGACUGCUGGGCCCAUGAGGUUUAGCCCUGCCUCGUAGCCACCAGCAUGGGAUUCACCUUCUGCCUGCCUGUCAGGCCAGGCGCACCUCACACUCACAGUGAAUGCCUCCAGUCUUCCUUUCCAAACACACGGGGAAGUGAUGGCAGCUCCUUUCCCCUCCGGAGCUCGCAGAGGCUCUCGCUGGCCUGAGGAGUUGGACUGUUCGCAGG